rnacentral:rRNA from 1 species
AAUCAACGCUGGCGGCGUGCCUCAGACAUGCAAGUCGAACGAGAACCUCCCUUCGGGGAGGGACAGUGGCGCACGGGUGAGUAACACGUGGGUAAUUUACCUUUGGGUGGGGGACAACAGCCGGAAACGGCUGCUAAUACCGCAUAAUGCAGCGGCUCGACAUCGAGACAGUUGUUAAAGCGGGGGAUCGCAAGACCUCGCGCCUGAAGAGAAGCCUGCGGCGGAUUAGCAGUUGGUAGGGUAAUGGCCUACCAAGGCGACGAUCUGUAACCGGCCUGAGAGGGCGGUCGGUCACACUGACACUGACAUACGGGUCAGACUCCUACGGGAGGCAGCAGUCGGGAAUUUUGGGCAAUGGGCGAAAGCCUGACCCAGCAACGCCGCGUGAAGGAUGAAGCUUUUCGGAGUGUAAACUUCAUAAGAAUGGGAA